UCCAGUCAUUGUGGUGGGCACACACUAUGAUGUCAUACCUGAAGAGGACAGGGAAUAUGUUUUUGCCCAGUUUGAUGUCAAGCUUAAAGAACUUGUUAAUAAACCAGGUUUUCCUGCAAUCAGCUGUUUUGCUCUUAUAGAUUUGACUAAAGAAACUCCAGAACUUCACAAGUUACGGAAAAAAGUUCAAGAGACAGUGG
rnacentral:sRNA from 1 species